AUUGAACGCUGGCGGCAGGUCUAACACAUGCAAGUCGAGCGGGUGUAGUUUUCUUGCUCCUUGGUUCAGCGGCGGUCGGGUGAUUUAUGCCUAGGAGUCUUUCUGGUCGUGGGGUUUUACUUCCGGAAACUGGCGCUAAUACCGCGUACGUCUUGCGGGCGAAAGUGAGGGAUCUUCGUACCUCCCGCUAUCCUUUUACCCUAUCUCGGAUUACCUAUUUAGUGGGGUCAAGGCCUAACAAGGCGAAGGUCCGUAACUGGUAUGAGAGGAUGAUCAGUCACACUGGAAAUGAGAAAAGGUACAGACACCUACGGGAGGCAGCAGUGGGGAAGAUGGGACAAUGGGAGAAAGCCUGAUACAGCCAUGCCGCGUGUGUGAAGAAGGUCUUCGGAUUGUAAAGCAAGUUAAGUUGGGAGGAAGGGCAGUAAGUUAAGACCGUGCUGUUUGGACGGUACCAACAGAAGAAGAACAGGCUAACUUCGUG
rnacentral:rRNA from 1 species